rnacentral:rRNA from 1 species
GACGAACGCUGGCGGCGUGCUUAACACAUGCAAGUCGAACGGAAAGGCCCUGCUUUUGUGGGGUGCUCGAGUGGCGAACGGGUGAGUAACACGUGAGUAACCUGCCCUUGACUUUGGAUAACUUCAGGAAACUGGGGCUAAUACCGGAUAGGAGCUCCUGCUGCAUGGUGGGGGUUGGAAAGUUUCGGCGGUUGGGGAUGGACUCGCGGCUUAUCAGCUUGUUGGUGGGGUAGUGGCUUACCAAGGCUUUGACGGGUAGCCGGCCUGAGAGGGUGACCGGCCACAUUGGGACUGAGAUACGGCCCAGACUCCUACGGGAGGCAGCAGUGGGGAAUAUUGCACAAUGGGCGGAAGCCUGAUGCAGAAACGCCGCGUGCGGGAUGACGGCCUUCGGGUUGUAAACCGCUUUAGCCUGUGACGAAGCGUGAGUGACGGUAAUGGGUAAAGAAGCACCGGCUAACUACGUG